rnacentral:rRNA from 1 species
UACGUAGGAUCCGAGCGUUGUCCGGAAUACUGGGCGUAAAGCGUGCGCAGGCGGUUCGUUGUGUCGGCGGUGAAAGCCCCGGGCUCAACCUGGGAAUGGCCGUUGAAACUGGCGAACUGGAGUGUGGCAGGAGGGGGGGUGGAAUUCCGCGUGUAGCAGUGAAAUGCGUAGAGAUGCGGAGGAACACCGAUGGCGAAGGCAGCCCCCUGGGCUGACACUGACGCUCAGGCACGAAAGCGUGGGGAGCAAACAGG